rnacentral:rRNA from 1 species
AGGAUGAACGCUGGCGGCGUGCUUAACACAUGCAAGUCGAACGAUGAAGGCUGGAGCUUGCUCUGGCGGGAUUAGUGGCGAACGGGUGAGUAACACGUGAGUAACCUGCCCCAGACUCUGGGAUAAGCGCUGGAAACGGCGUCUAAUACCGGAUACGAGCUUCCACCGCAUGGUGAGGAGCUGGAAAGAAUUUCGGUCUGGGAUGGACUCGCGGCCUAUCAGCUUGUUGGUGAGGUAAUGGCUCACCAAGGCGACGACGGGUA